rnacentral:rRNA from 1 species
GACCAAGGAGUCUAACAUGUGCGCGAGUCAAUGGGUCUUGAAUAUGCCCAAAGGCGCAAUGAAAGUGAAUGCCGGUUCUUCCGAACCUGGCCUAUGUUGGGACUCUCCGUCCUCGUUGGCGGGGAAGCACCAACGACCCGUCCUAUCCGAUUUAUCGGUUGGGCGGAGUCAGAGCGCACACGUUGGGACCCGAAAGAUGGUGAACUAUGCCUGGGCAGGACGAAGCCAGAGGAAACUCUGGUGGAGGUCCGUAGCGGUUCUGACGUGCAAAUCGAUCGUCAGACCCGGGUAUAGGGGCGAAAGACUAAUCGAACCAUCUAGUAGCUGGUUCCCUCCGAAGUUUCCCUCAGGAUAGCUGGCGCUCGGAGAAUUCAGUUUCAUCCGGUAAAGCGAAUGAUUAGAGGCCUUGGGGCCGAAACGACCUCAACCUAUUCUCAAACUUUAAAUGGGUGAGAAGUCCGGCUUGCGUUGAUGAAGCCCGGACGUGUUGAAUGAGAGUGCCUAGUGGGCCACUUUUG